rnacentral:rRNA from 1 species
CGCGCAGGCGGCGUCGUAAGUCGGUCUUAAAAGUGCGGGGCUUAACCCCGUGAGGGGACCGAAACUGCGAUGCUAGAGUAUCGGAGAGGAAAGCGGAAUUCCUAGUGUAGCGGUGAAAUGCGUAGAUAUUAGGAGGAACACCAGUGGCGAAAGCGGCUUUCUGGACGACAACUGACGCUGAGGCGCGAAAGCCAGGGAGCAAACG